rnacentral:lncRNA from 1 species
CUUUUGGGAUUUGGAGUUCCGCAGGGUGGAAGCUAAAGGAGGUGCAUCUUAACUACACGGCCCCGGUUUCCUUCACACACAACCCAUUUGGAGCUGGGUCUGGAGAAACCUGUAACAGUCUAUGGCCCUACCACUUGGACGCAUCAUAUCUCAGAAGCUAAACAGAGUCCGGCCUGGCUAGCAUUUGGUUGGAUUAGAGAUUAGUCACCGUGAGGAAGCCAAAUCGGAUCCGGGAGUCUUUUUCUAAAGGCCAGUACUGGCCACAUUUUCUCCUGCCGCCUUCCUCAAAGCUGAAGACAUACAGAGCAAGUUAAGCCUUCUCUCUUCAACUAGCUUAGCAAAUCCACACUGAGGCCUAGACCUUGGCCACUGCUCAGUUUCUUUCGACGAAGGGCCCUUGGCUGACACAGGAGUGGGGAAGACAAUUCUCCCAACUACAGGUGGCUGUUGACAAUGCUCUGAGGACGGGAACUGAGGGAGCAUCGCUUUUCUUCCCUAUCUGAAAAAGGUAGAGAUAUUAAUGAACAGAAGAGCCAUCAAAAGAAGGAGGAAAUGGAGAGCAAAGGGAACUGGUAAUGCAGUGGCCAGGAAGGCACCUUUCCUCUGUAGACAAGAGGCAGCUUCAAGGUGUGCUGCUGGCAUUUCCCAGCACGUCCUUUUGUGAAUAAGGCCAGAACCCCAGGAUAGGCUUUAGCGCACUAGCCCUGGGUCCCUACAGUUACGGAUUAAAUAUUUCUGCAAGGCUAACAC